GCAAGAACAAAUCUCAGUUGGGCUGAGAUUUGUUGGGGCCAAGCUUAAGGCCCGGUCCAAGUCUGCCGGUGUUGUCGAAAGCUCGAUUUCAGCCACCGUUGCGUCGCCGUCGCGGUGAUUCGAUCUCCGCUUUUGUCAAAUAACCAUUUCAGGACCCUGAGGAGAAGCCGAUGAGGAGGAACCUGAAGGGAAGAAAGACUUUUGAAGAAAAAGAUGAUCUAAAGAGGGAUCUUGAAUAUAACCCGGAUGUGGACUGAGAUCCCAUCCCUUUUGUAAACCGUCUUAGCGUAGAUAGGUGUGAAACAAGUACGUUGUGAAUAGUAUUAUAAAUAUACUAUGAGUUACGCUGUUAAUGAAAGUGUGGUUGUGAAUUUCAAUAUGAAAAA